CCAGCCAAUCCUGCACUUUUGUGUAUAAUGGUUGGUGAUGGGGUUCAGCUUCUAGGGAUGGGAGUUGUGACCAUAUUGUUUGCUGCUCUUGGGUUCAUGUCCCCAGCUUCCCGUGGAACACUUAUUACAGGUAUGCUAUUUUUCUAUAUGAUUCUCGGUGUUGCAGCAGGUUACGUUGCUGUACGUCUUUGGAGAACUAUCUGUUGUGG
rnacentral:misc_RNA from 1 species